GGUGUUCAUGGAUGAGAAGUAAAAGUUCCCUUGCAUGAUAUGUGAUCGGAGUAGCAGCAGCUAUAGCAGCUCUCUCUAUACGCCUUAAUGUGGGGGUCGCAGCAUCUGUAGCAGCCAGAGAACUUGCACGGCCAGAAUUAGUUACAACCCCAAUAAGCUCAAUAGCCACCUGUGCAAGUUCUGCUUGCCACCGGUUCUGUUCACUGCCAGGAGUCUGAUUUCCUGAAUCUCGUAUGAGUUCUGACAACUUCUUCCCAACCUGAAGUUUUGUUAAUAUAUGUGCAAUUGUAUCAUCUCUAGCCAAACCAAGAAGUACUCGGCAAGCAAGAGCACGAAGACAGUCAAUUGCAGCUGGAGGAGUAACUAUCCGUGGCUGGAGGAGCUGCAGG
rnacentral:misc_RNA from 1 species